rnacentral:rRNA from 1 species
GCCAGACUCCUACGGGAGGCAGCAGUGGGGAAUAUUGCACAAUGGGGGAAACCCUGAUGCAGCGACGCCGCGUGAGUGAAGAAGCGUUUCGGCGCGUAAAGCUCUGUCAGCGGGGAAGAAACACGGUUCGCGAGAGCCGCGGACGGUACCCGACCAAGAAGCCCCGGCUAACUACGUGCCAGCAGCCGCGGUAAUACGUAGGGGGCAAGCGUUAUCCGGAUUCACUGGGUGUAAAGGGAGCGUAGACGGCGAGGUAAGCCUGAAGUGGAAGCCCGCGGCCCAACCGCGGAACUGCUUUGGGAACUGUUUUGCUGGAGUAUGGGAGGGGUAAGCGGAAUUCCUAGUGUAGCGGUGAAAUGCGUAGAUAUUAGGAAGAACACCAGUGGCGAAGGCGGCUUUCUGGACUGAAACUGACGCUGAGGCACGAAAGCGUGGGGAGCGAACAGGAUUAGAUACCCGCGUAAUG